rnacentral:rRNA from 1 species
CUCCCAGACUCCUACGGGAGGCAGCAGUGAGGAAUAUUGGUCAAUGGCCGUAAGGCUGAACCAGCCAAGUAGCGUGAGGGAAGACUGCCCUAUGGGUUGUAAACCUCUUUUAUGCGGGGAUAAAGGUGUCCACGUGUGGAUGUUUGCAGGUACCGCAUGAAUAAGGACCGGCUAAUUCCGUGCCAGCAGCCGCGGUAAUACGGAAGGUCCGGGCGUUAUCCGGAUUUAUUGGGUUUAAAGGGAGCGUAGGCGGGUUAUCAAGUCAGCGGUAAAAUUUCGGGGCUCAACCCCGUCGUGCCGUUGAAACUGACACCCUUGAGUGAGUGAGAAGUAAGCGGAAUGCGUGGUGUAGCGGUGAAAUGCAUAGAUAUCACGCAGAACGCCGAUUGCGAAGGCAGCUUACUGGCGCUCAACUGACGCUGAGGCACGAAAGUGCGGGUAUCGAACAGGAUUAGAUACCCCCGUAG